AGCUUAGCUCCGGGACUAGCGGCUGCGCAGCUAGGAGCCGGCGGCCGGGAGCUCGAGCCAGGAAGUGGAGGAAGAGCGCAGAGGUGCCGCCUCAGAACCUCGCGGCCUGCACGCCCCGGUGAGUGGUCGCCCGCAGCAGCCCACGGUGCCAUCUACCUGGCCUGUGAGGUGCGUUCCCUACGGACUCGACUCAGGGCUGGACUUGAUGGAAAAAGAAGUUUAUAAACAAGCAACCCAAUUUCUCCUACUUAUUCGAGAAACUACCUAGAAGUCAAGCUACAAAAGCCAGACAAGUUUUGCCUGCAAUUUACAGCGGUGUCGUUGAAUCCUGGGAAAUGAACAAUUAGAAGAGGAUGCCCCGAAUAUACUGUCUUGUUCUACACUGAUAGCUGGUUAUGCAAUUGGCUGAUUAGCGUUUUUGCGGCAGUCCCCAGAUAAUUUUUGUGGUCAAAAUAAAAACUACCUUCAGUA